UUCCCCACAUCUGGUCAUUGCAACAACAGGGAUAGGGUGAGAAGACCUCAGUUGGAGCAAAGGCAUGUGUGAGCUCCCUUUGCUACCAUAUACUCAAGUAAAGAUGCCUUCACAGCUGUUCUGGAAUCAAACUGUAGAGGAAGAGGUGAAAGAGGGACAGGUCUAAUGGGACAUGGGACCUUUCCAGCGGGUGACAGGAGGCUUUGGCACCCUGGUUCCAUGGCACCCCAGCCUCAGCUCUUCCCUCUUCACCUGGCCCUGGAGAAGCCACAGGGCCAAUCCCUGGUGGUAUUUCAUAAAGGUGGUACUUAGAACCCUGACCCUCAUACCACAUGAGACACCACUUGUGAGUGGCUAGCAACAUUCUGUGACAUCACAGUCACUGAGAGGUGCACUCUCUAGUGGUUAGGCCAAAGUGGCCAGUAGCCUGCUUACUGCCGACCUAUACAGGUAUUGGUGGUUGAAGCAGGAGACAUAUUUGGAGUGCCAGAUGGAUUCUCACUUGAGACAUGACUGGGCCAUCCUGAAGAAUCUGAGGGACAAGGAGUGUGCUCAGGUCAUCUGUCUGUAUGAAAAGGGACCCCAUCAAAGGCUCCUUUCUUAAAUUGGAAAAGAAAACUACUACAGUGAAGACCUUGUGCCAGACAGCUUUGGCUUCCUGUGGUGGGUUGUUGGCACCCUAGCUCAUCUCUGGGUAUCGGUGAGUUUCAGAAACUCCAGCAACUGGCAUUCUGGUAUGGGGGUUAAGUCACCACCUACAAU